CAAUAGCGUAUAUUAAAGUUGUUGCAGUUAAAAAGCUCGUAGUUGGAUUUCUGCUGAGAACGACCGGUCCGCCCUUUGGGUGUGUAUCUGGCUCUUUCUUGGCAUCUUCUUGGUGAACGUUGCUGCACUUGACUGUGUGGAGCGCUACCCAGGACUUUUACUUUGAGGAAAUUAGAGUGUUUCAAGCAGGCAUACGCCUUGAAUACAUUAGCAUGGAAUAAUAAGAUAGGACCUCGGUUCUAUUUUGUUGGUUUCUAGAGCUGAGGUAAUGAUUAAUAGGGAUAGUUGGGGGCAUUCGUAUUUAACUGUCAGAGGUGAAAUUCUUGGAUUUGUUAAAGACGGACUACUGCGAAANCANNNGCCAAGGAUGUUUUCAUNGA
rnacentral:rRNA from 1 species